CCUACGGGGGGCAGCAGUGGGGAAUAUUGGGCAAUGGGCGAAAGCCUGAUCCAGCCAUGCCGCGUGUGUGAAGAAGGCCUUCGGGUUGUAAAGCACUUUCAGUGGGGAAGAAAGCCUUGGGGCUAAUACCCUCGAGGAAGGACAUCACCCACAGAAGAAGCACCGGCUAACUCCGUGCCAGCAGCCGCGGUAAUACGGAGGGUGCGAGCGUUAAUCGGAAUUACUGGGCGUAAAGCGCGCGUAGGCGGUCUGAUAAGCCGGUUGUGAAAGCCCCGGGCUCAACCUGGGAACGGCAUCCGGAACUGUCAGGCUAGAGUGCAGGAGAGGAAGGUAGAAUUCCCGGUGUAGCGGUGAAAUGCGUAGAGAUCGGGAGGAAUACCAGUGGCGAAGGCGGCCUUCUGGACUGACACUGACGCUGAGGUGCGAAAGCGUGGGUAGCAAACAGGAUUAGAUACCCGAGUAGUC
rnacentral:rRNA from 1 species